rnacentral:tRNA from 1 species
GCGGGAGUAGCUUAGUGGUAAAGCAUCUGCCUUCCAAGCAGAGGAGCGCGGGUUCGAAUCCCGUCUCCCGCUCCA